rnacentral:rRNA from 1 species
UACGUAGGUGGCAAGCGUUGUCCGGAUUUACUGGGCGUAAAGAGCGCGCAGGCGGUCGUGCAAGUCGCGUGUGAAAGCCCCCGGCUCAACUGGGGAGGGUCACGCGAUACUGCUCGACUCGAAGGCAGGAGAGGGAAGUGGAAUUCCCGGUGUAGUGGUGAAGUGCGUAGAUAUCGGGAGGAACACCAGUGGCGAAGGCGACUUCCUGGCCUGUUCUUGACGCUGAGGCGCGAAAGCUAGGGUAGCAAACGGG